rnacentral:lncRNA from 1 species
CAAAGACAGAUCUUUGCGGUGUUGACGUCUUAAGCCUUUUGAAGACAGAAGUUCGGUCUCGACCAUUGAUGCGAUCAAGUGCCGAAAUUCUAGGUUUUGAAUGAUUCAGCCUGUCAAAAACUGAAGUUCGAGGGACGGGUUUAGGCUCAUCUUUUGGCCUUGUGGCUUGUGGUCUUGGCUUCUUUGUUUUUUUUGUAGGUCGCCGAUGUCCACCCUUCCUUAUCACCAGUAGAUG